UACGUAGGGUGCAAGCGUUUAAUCGGAAUUACUGGGCGUAAAGCGUGCGCAGGCGGUUUUGUAAGUCUGACGUGAAAGCCCCGGGCUUAACCUGGGAAUUGCGUUGGAGACUGCAAGGCUUGAAUCUGGCAGAGGGGGGUAGAAUUCCACGUGUAGCAGUGAAAUGCGUAGAGAUGUGGAGGAACACCGAUGGCGAAGGCAGCCCCCUGGGUCAAGAUUGACGCUCAUGCACGAAAGCGUGGGGAGCAAACAGG
rnacentral:rRNA from 1 species